GUGGGGAAUAUUGGACAAUGGGGGGAACCCUGAUCCAGCCAUGCCGCGUGUGUGAAGAAGGCCUUUUGGUUGUAAAGCACUUUAAGCGAGGAGGAGGCUACCGAGAUUAAUACUCUUGGAUAGUGGACGUUACUCGCAGAAUAAGCACCGGCUAACUCUGUGCCAGCAGCCGCGGUAAUACAGAGGGUGCAAGCGUUAAUCGGAUUUACUGGGCGUAAAGCGCGCGUAGGUGGCCAAUUAAGUCAAAUGUGAAAUCACCGAGCUUAACUUGGGAAUUGCAUUCGAUACUGGUUGGCUAGAGUAUGGGAGAGGAUGGUAGAAUUCCAGGUGUAGCGGUGAAAUGCGUAGAGAUCUGGAGGAAUACCGAUGGCGAAGGCAGCCAUCUGGCCUAAUACUGACACUGAGGUGCGAAAGCAUGGGGAGCAAACAGGAUUAGAAACCCCAGUAGUCC
rnacentral:rRNA from 1 species